rnacentral:rRNA from 1 species
UACGUAGGGAGCAAGCGUUGUCCGGAAUCAUUGGGCGUAAAGGGCGCGUAGGCGGCUUGAUAAGCGUGCGGUGAAAGCCCGGGGCUCAACCCCGGGUCGGCCGUGCGAACUGUCGAGCUGGAGCACUGUAGAGGCAGGUGGAAUUCCGGGUGUAGCGGUGGAAUGCGUAGAGAUCCGGAAGAACACCGGUGGCGAAGGCGGCCUGCUGGGCAGUGGCUGACGCUGAGGCGCGACAGCGUGGGGAGCAAACAGG